GAUCAAUGGCUUGAACUGAGAAUAUUAAUCAAAUUAUAUAUCAUAGAUACAAAAAAAAGGUAGGUGAUUUUAAAUCCCCACUAAUCCCCACCUGCUCUUUUACUCAAAUUCUUUUUCACAAAGAUCAUCAAUUGAGAAGACAGUUGUGAAAAAUUAUAACAACAUUACAACCCAUGUGCAGUUGCAAACCGUAGUCUGGCUUUUUGAAGGCGGUUUUGGAGCAGUGGCUUCUUCCUUGCUGAGCCGCCUUUCAGGUGAUGUCGAUAUGGGUCUCGUUUUACUGUGGAUAUAGACACUUUUGUACCUGUUUCCUCCAGCAUCUUCACAAGGUCAUUUGCUGUUGUUCUAGGAUUGAUUGGCCCUUUUCGCACCAAAGUACAUUCAUCUCUAGGAGACAGCGGUAUAAGGGCUGCGUGGUCCCCUGGAGUUUAUACUUGCAUACUAUUGUUUGUACAGAUGAACGCGGUACCUUCAGGCGUUUGGAAAUUGCUCCCAUGAACGAACCAGACCUGUGGAGGUCUACAAUUUAUUUCUGAGGUCUUGGCUGAUUUCUUUUGAUUUUCCCAUGAUGUCAAGCAAAGAGGCACUGAGUUUGAAGGUUUCAUCAACACGAAAGCUGCAGCAGCCCCUGGUUUUACAGCCUUCCUCUACUUCCUCCCAUAGCACUGUUCACUGGGUUCCUGUCAUUGCACUUCAUACAGGGGGAAUUCACCUCUAUAAAACAUGUUCAAGCCACCCGUGACUCUGGAGUCUGGGCCCCCUUUGAAUACUUCACUUGACUGUAGAUAUCAGUUGUUCUUUACAAGGCAUUUAAUGCUGUUUAAUUCAUGAUAGAUAGGCCCAGUAUGUAGCAUCCGCUUGCCAUCAUCCAGCCAGCACCUGCCAAUACUGCCACAGAUUGCCAUAGACUGACUGUACACCGCGUUUAGAACAAUGGGCUGGCUGAAUGCUGCCGGGGCCAUUGUUACCUGAGCGUCAGUCGGAGAGUAACCUGAAACAAAACAGCUGUUUCACUGAGUACAGGCUACAAGGCUAGAGCUAACCCUACAAACUAGGUGGGGUAGGGGAGCCCAGCCAAGUUCAUAUAAAAAGAGAAAAAACUGCUGACAUUUGCACACACACACAAAAAGUUACUCCUUUAACACUACUAUAAACUCCUAUGACAUAUGAUCAUUACUUUGUUUAUUACUUUGCUGACAAGAACGAGUUUACCCACUGCAGAUAAAUUAGGUACAGAAAAUAAACACUGAAUUGAACUGAAAAGAACAGGGUGAAUUGUAUUUCAAGUUAGUAAUUCUAUUCAUGUCAAAGAUUUUACUGAGUUACAGUUCACAUAAGGAACUUAUAAAACCUGAGACAUCUGUGGCUUUGUGUUGUGUGACUGUGUAAUGAUCUUGCUGUUUAAUCAGCUUCUUGAUAUGCCACACCUGUCAAGUGGAUGAAUUAUCUUGGCUAAGGAGAAAUGUUCACGAACAGGUAUGUAAACAAAUUUGUGGCAAAAAAAAUAGAGAGAAAGAAGCUUUUUGUGUGUUUGGAAAAUUUCUGGGAUCUUUUAUUUCAGCUCAUGAAACAUGGGACCAACACUUUGUAUAAAUAUAAAUGUUGCAUUUAUAUUUUUGUUCAGUGUACUAUGUAGUAACCUCAAGAUAAACUUAAAAUACCACACAUUUGUGAAAUUAAUGCAAACUAGAACAGCAAACUGAAAAAUAAAUUGAGGCAAGAAAAGAGAA